ACACAGAUCAUCUGGGGAGCUUGUUAAAAUGCAGAUUCUGAUUCCUCCAGUGAGGGUGGGGCCUGAGAGUCUGCAUUUCUAACAGCCUCCAGGUGAUGCAGAA
rnacentral:pre_miRNA from 1 species